rnacentral:rRNA from 1 species
AACAGGAUUAGAUACCCUGGUAGUCCACGCCGUAAACGAUGUCGACUUGGAGGUUGUUCCCUUGAGGAGUGGCUUCCGGAGCUAACGCGUUAAGUCGACCGCCUGGGGAGUACGGCCGCAAGGUUAAAACUCAAAUGAAUUGACGGGGGCCCGCACAAGCGGUGGAGCAUGUGGUUUAAUUCGAUGCAACGCGAAGAACCUUACCUACUCUUGACAUCCAGAGAACUUAGCAGAGAUGCUUUGGUGCCUUCGGGAGCUCUGAGACAGGUGCUGCAUGGCUGUCGUCAGCUCGUGUUGUGAAAUGUUGGGUUAAGUCCCGCAACGAGCGCAACCCUUAUCCUUUGUUGCCAGCGAUUCGGUCGGGAACUCGAAGGAGACUGCCGGUGAUAAACCGGAGGAAGGUGGGGAUGACGUCAAGUCAUCAUGGCCCUUACGAGUAGGGCUACACACGUGCUACAAUGGCGCAUACAAAGAGAAGCGACCUCGCGAGAGCAAGCGGACCUCAUAAAGUGCGUCGUAGUCCGGAUCGGAGUCUGCAACUCGACUCCGUGAAGUCGGAAUCGCUAGUAAUCGUGGAUCAGAAUGCCACGGUGAAUACGUUCCCGGGCCUUGUACACACCGCCCGUCACACCAUGGGAGUGGGUUGCAAAAGAAGUAGGUAGCUUAACCUUCGGGAGGGCGCUUACCACUUUGUGAUUCAUGACUGGGGUGAAGUCGUAACAAGGUAACC